CGGGGUGUAGCGCAGCCCGGUAGCGCGCUUGCUUUGGGAGCAAGAUGUCGGGGGUUCGAAUCCCUCCACCCCGA
rfam:Rhodocyclales bacterium GWA2_65_20 gwa2_scaffold_3651, whole genome shotgun sequence.